CACCGCCGCGGGAAUACGAAGGGGGCUAGCGUUGCUCGGAAUGACUGGGCGUAAAGGGCGCGUAGGCGGAUGGCUUUGUCAGAUGUGAAAUUCCAGGGCUUAACCUUGGGGCUGCAUUUGAGACGGGUUGUCUAGAGUGGAGAAGAGGGUCGUGGAAUUCCCAGUGUAGAGGUGAAAUUCGUAGAUAUUGGGAAGAACACCGGUGGCGAAGGCGGCAACCUGGUCCUUGACUGACGCUGAGGCGCGAAAGCGUGGGGAGCAAACAGGAUUAGAUACCCCCGUAGUCCCUGUCUCUUAUACA
rnacentral:rRNA from 1 species